rnacentral:rRNA from 1 species
UACGAAGGGGGCAAACGUUGUUCGGAAUUACUGGGCGUAAAGCGCGUGUAGGCGGUUGGCUAAGUCGACUGUGAAAGCCCAUGGCUCAACCAUGGAAGUGCAGUCGAUACUGGCUAACUGGAGUCCCGGAGAGGGUGGUGGAAUUCUCAGUGUAGAGGUGAAAUUCGUAGAUAUUGAGAGGAACACCGGUGGCGAAGGCGACCACCUGGACGGGUACUGACGCUGAGACGCGAAAGCGUGGGGAGCAAACAGG